GCGAAUGUAUUUUAUACAAGGACCUGAUCGAAUUGGUCAAAAAAGAGCGGUCCAUUACUUCUGUCCCAAUGACUUCACCAAGUUGGGAAAGUUCUUGAAAAAGACAAAGAAAAAAGUAAUCCAUUUGGACCCCCCCCCUUCCGCAUUCGGAAAAACUGGGACCAGUGACUUUUGACUUACCUGCCACUUCCACGACAUGCGACCAAAGAAAGCGAUUUCGACUCCGACCUCCAGCACCUGGUUCUACAGAGAACUAAAACAUGAAAAAGAUCUCAGGCCAUGGAAAUUGAAGACGACAACGACGAUGUCUGCAACCGUCCGACGUACCAGGCAACUGACGUCGACAAACCCUCGGAAUCCUACACAAGCGACAACACAAAAGAUGUCAACAGCCAGGAAGACUAUGAAGUCCCCGUACAUUGGCCCACUAAACCACACCGUAACAUGGUGUCGAUCUACUGGGACUAUGAGAACUUAAGCGCCCCAAAAGGAAUAUCUGCGUGCGAUAUCGUCAAGACGAUUCGGGACAAGAUGGUGGUUGGAUACUCAGAGUUCGAGUUUGUAGUAGCGGUUGACGUCUUCAGAACAGCAAAGGUAACCAUAGACCAGUUAACAGGUGCCAACGUCAUGCUCUUGCACUUAGAUGGCAAGCGAAAAAAACGCAGCCGACGUGAGAGUAAGAUCUUUGAUGAGAAGAUUCUCCGGGACCUUUCGCGGCACGAACGCGAAAGCCGUAGUUAUUACGAGUGAUGUUGACUUUCUACAAGAUUGUCACCACAUGACCUAUUUUGAUAAAACAAAGCUUGUCCUUAUUCACGGCGAAACAGCCAAGGCUUGUCUUAAAGAUAUGUCAAGCGAAUGUGUGUUAUACAAGGACCUGAUCGAAGAUGUCAAAAAAGAGCGGUUUAAUACUUCUGUCCCAACGACUUCUGCAAGUUGGGAAAACUCUCGAAAAUGACAAAGGAAAAAGUAAGACUAAAAAGACUAACCUGCCACUUCCACGACAUGCGAACAAAGAACAGGACUUAGACUUCGACCUCCAGCACCUAGUUCUACAGAGGACUAAAACAUGAAAAAGAUCUUUUCGCCACCCCUAGGGAUAUCGAAAAAUCAGACGCUGACUGUACAACUCACCGAGUGGAUGCAUCAAAUGGCCUGUGGGGAAAACGCGCGGCGGAACAAGGAGAAUAACCGAAAGGACCGUCGCAUAGUAGGAGUGAUCGGGAAAGGAAUCGGUCGGGCUCUUCUGUGCAGGAGCUUGAGCUCAAUAAACAAAGUGUUCGCUG